rnacentral:lncRNA from 1 species
GGAUGGUGACAUUUUGGGAUAAGUAGUAGAAAAACUUGGAGUUAGAUCCCCCUAAGGUCAAAAAAUAUUUCAUAAACCAAACCCCUUUUUCCUUUGAACUAUAGUGGACUAGAGAACUUUUUCAACACAUCAAACAAAGUUUUGCAAUUCUUUGAAUUCAAGGCUAUCACUUCUUUUUGUACUUCUUUUCUAUUUUUCUUUCACAUUCAUCUCUUUUUUUCAUUUUUCUUUCUCUUGCCUUGCAAUUUUUGAAAUUUUUCUCAAUUUUUCAAAUCAAAACUUUUUGUAAGUUC